GGGCAGGUAGCUCAGUUGGUAGAGCAAAGGACUGAAAAUCCUUGUGUCGCCGGUUCGAUUCCGGCCCUGCCCA
rnacentral:tRNA from 1 species